CAGCAGCCGCGGUAAUACCGGCGGCCCGAGUGGCGGUCACUAUUAUUGGGCUUAAAGCGUCCGUAGCCGGGUUGGGAAGUCCUCCGGGAAAUCUGGCCGCUUAACGGUCAGAAUGCCGGAGGAUACUCCCAGCCUAGGGAGCGGGAGAGGCCGAGGGUAUUCCCGGAGUAGGGGGGAAAUCCUAUAAUCCCGGGAGGACCACCUGUGGCGAAGGAGCUCGGCUGGAACGCGUCCGACGGUGAGGGACGAAGGCCAGGGGAGCAAACCGGAUUAGAUACCCGGGUAGUCCAGGCUGUAAACGAUGCGGACUUUGUGUCGGACAAGCUAUGAGCUUGUCCGGUGCCGGAGGGAAACCGUUAAGUCCGCCGCCUGGGGAGUACGGCCGCAAGGCUGAAACUUAAAGGAAUUGGCGGG
rnacentral:rRNA from 1 species